rnacentral:rRNA from 1 species
AAUGAACGUUGGCGGCGUGGAUUAGGCAUGCAAGUCGAGCGAGAAGAGUUUGGUAGCCUGCUAUUGAACUCGGAAAGCGGCGAAAGGGAGAGUAACGCGUAGUUACGUGCCCCAGGGUUCGGAAUAGCCACGGGAAGCUGUGGGUAAUGCCGAAUAACAUCUCCGGAUCAAAGGUGUGAUUCCGCCCUGGGAGCGGACUGCGUCCUACUAGCUAGUUGGCGGGGUAAUGGCCCACCAAGGCAACAAUGGGUAGCGGGUGUGAGAGCAUGACCCGUCUCACUGGGACUGAGACACUGCCCAGACACCUGCGGGUGGCUGCAGUCGAGAAUCUUCGGCAAUGGGCGAAAGCCUGACCGAGCGACGCCGCGUGCGGGAUGAAGGCCCUCGGGUUGUAAACCGCUGUCGUAGGGGAGGAAGGCUCCAUGAAGAAUGGGGUUUGACCUAUCCUAGGAGGAAGUACGGGCUAAGUUCGUGCCAGCCGCCGCGGUAA